CCUACGGGUGGCAGCAGUGAGGAAUAUUGGUCAAUGGCCGGAAGGCUGAACCAGCCAAGCCGCGUGCAGGACGAAGGUGCCAAGCAUUGUAAACUUCUUUUGUCAAGGGACAAAAUCAGGCUCGAGAGCCUGACCGAGGGUACUUGAAGAAAAAGCAUCGGCUAACUCCGUGCCAGCAGCCGCGGUAAUACGGAGGAUGCGAGCGUUAUCCGGAUUUAUUGGGUUUAAGGGGUGCGUGGGCGGACUGUUAUGUCAGCGGUAAAAGCCCGGGGCUCAACCCCGGAGAGCCGUUGAAACUGGCUGUCUUGAGAGGUCGAGGGGUAGGCGGAAUG
rnacentral:rRNA from 1 species